rnacentral:lncRNA from 1 species
AUUGGCCAACUGCCUUGGAGCCAUUUCAGUCCUCCGCAACUUAGCUCAGGUGGAGAGGCCGGCGCUACCGAGCCGGGUUCUUUGCCCGUCGGGGGACGCUCCGCCGAGACGAGGUGGGGUCUCGGAGGCCCCGGGGUCCACUUCCAGGGCUUUUCCGACCUAUCGGGUGGGGGGUGGGGCGGGGGGCAGGAACGCACCGGAACCGAUGGCGAGUCGAGAGCUUUGAUUCUGCGUCCGGACCCCAAGAGAGGCGCGGGCCGCCCCAGCAGGGGAGCGAGGGAGGAGGGUGCAGAAAGAGGCUCCGAAAUUGGGGGAAACUGACCCGUGCUUCUCUACCUUCGGAGGUGGGACAGUUGCACGAAGUGCUAGUUAGACCGGAUCAGUUGGAACUGACGGAGGACUGCAAAGAAGAAACUAAAAUAGACGUCGAAAGCCUGUCCUCGGCGUCGCAGCUGGACCAAGCCCUCCGACAGUUUAACCAGUCAGUGAGCAAUGAACUGAAUAUUGGAGUAGGGACUUCCUUCUGUCUCUGUACUGAUGGGCAGCUUCAUGUCAGGCAAAUCCUGCAUCCUGAGGCUUCCAAGAAGAAUGUACUAUUACCUGAAUGCUUCUAUUCCUUUUUUGAUCUUCGAAAAGAAUUCAAGAAAUGUUGCCCUGGUUCACCUGAUAUUGACAAACUGGACGUUGCCACAAUGACAGAGUAUUUAAAUUUUGAGAAGAGUAGUUCAGUCUCUCGAUAUGGAGCCUCUCAAGUUGAAGAUAUG